rnacentral:rRNA from 1 species
GAACGCUAGCGACAGGCUUAACACAUGCAAGUCGAGGGCAGCAUAAAAGUAGCAAUACUUGGUGGCGACCGGCGCACGGGUGAGUAACGCGUAUGCAACCUACCUAUACAGGAGGGGAAUAACCCGGCGAAAGUCGGACUAAUACCGCAUAAAACAGGGGCACCGCAUGGUGAUAUUUGUUAAAGAAAUUCGCUGAUAGAUGGGCAUGCGUUCCAUUAGGUAGUUGGUGAGGUAACGGCUCACCAAGCCGACGAUGGAUAGGGGAACUGAGAGGUUGGUCCCCCACACUGGUACUGAGACACGGACCAGACUCCUACGGGAGGCAGCAGUGAGGAAUAUUGGUCAAUGGGCGGGAGCCUGAACCAGCCAAAGUCGCGUGAAGGAAGAAGGAUCUAUGGUUCGUAAACUUCUUUUCGGGAGGGGAACAACCGUGGCAGGGAAUGGCCGCGGGAUGACGUGAAUCCCGGAAUAAGCCCCGGCUAACUACGUGCCAGCCGCGGC